AAAUUGAAGAGUUUGAUCAUGGCUCAGAUUGAACGCUGGCGGCAGGCCUAACACAUGCAAGUCGAACGGUAACAGGAAGCAGCUUGCUGCUUUGCUGACGAGUGGCGGACGGGUGAGUAAUGUCUGGGAAACUGCCUGAUGGAGGGGGAUAACUACUGGAAACGGUGGCUAAUACCGCAUAACGUCGCAAGACCAAAGAGGGGGACCUUCGGGCCUCUUGCCAUCAGAUGUGCCCAGAUGGGAUUAGCUUGUUGGUGAGGUAACGGCUCACCAAGGCGACGAUCCCUAGCUGGUCUGAGAGGAUGACCAGCCACACUGGAACUGAGACACGGUCCAGACUCCUACGGGAGGCAGCAGUGGGGAAUAUUGCACAAUGGGCGCAAGCCUGAUGCAGCCAUGCCGCGUGUAUGAAGAAGGCCUUCGGGUUGUAAAGUACUUUCAGCGGGGAGGAAGGUGUUGUGGUUAAUAACCGCAGCAAUUGACGUUACCCGCAGAAGAAGCACCGGCUAACUCCGUGCCAGCAGCCGCGGUAAUACGGAGGGUGCAAGCGUUAAUCGGAAUUACUGGGCGUAAAGCGCACGCAGGCGGUCUGUCAAGUCGGAUGUGAAAUCCCCGGGCUCAACCUGGGAACUGCAUUCGAAACUGGCAGGCUUGAGUCUUGUAGAGGGGGGUAGAAUUCCAGGUGUAGCGGUGAAAUGCGUAGAGAUCUGGAGGAAUACCGGUGGCGAAGGCAGCCCCCUGGACAAAGACUGACGCUCAGGUGCGAAAGCGUGGGGAGCAAACAGGAUUAGAUACCCUGGUAGUCCACGCCGUAAACGAUGUCUACUUGGAGGUUGUGCCCUUGAGGCGUGGCUUCCGGAGCUAACGCGUUAAGUAGACCGCCUGGGGAGUACGGCCGCAAGGUUAAAACUCAAAUGAAUUGACGGGGGCCCGCACAAGCGGUGGAGCAUGUGGUUUAAUUCGAUGCAACGCGAAGAACCUUACCUGGUCUUGACAUCCACGGAAGAAUUCAGAGAUGGAUU
rnacentral:rRNA from 1 species